AUUGAACGCUGGCGGCAGGCCUAACACAUGCAAGUCGAGCGGAUGAAGGGAGCUUGCUCCUGGAUUCAGCGGCGGACGGGUGAGUAAUGCCUAGGAAUCUGCCUGGUAGUGGGGGAUAACGUCCGGAAACGGGCGCUAAUACCGCCUACGUCCUGAGGGAGCAAGUGGGGGAUCUUCGGACCUCACGCGAUCAGAUGAGCCUAGGUCGGAUUAGCUAGUUGGUGGGGUAAAGGCCUACCAAGGCGACGAUCCGUAACUGGUCUGAGAGGAUGAUCAGUCACCCUGGAACUGAGACACGGUCCAGACUCCUACGGGAGGCAGCAGUGGGGAAUAUUGGACAAUGGUCGAAAGCCUGAUCCAGCCAUGCCGCGUGUGUGAAGAAGGUCUUCGGAUUGUAAAGCACUUUAAGUUGGGAGGAAGGGCAGUAAGUUAAUACCUUGCUGUUUUGACGUUACCAACAGAAUAAGCACCGGCUAACUUCGUG
rnacentral:rRNA from 1 species